CACAUAUUAUCGAAUUUUAAUGUCACGUUUCAAUAGUUAACCACAAAGAACUAAAUAAUUGGUCACAUACACCCAAUACUUGGUUACAAAUCCAGCAAAUAGUUAGUUACAGACACUCUUCGUUGCACCACCACCUCCACCGUCACAAACAUGAUGCACGCAAUAGUCGUCGUCCCAUUAAACUGGAAGCAAUACCAUAUAUUCAGAAUAGCUAUUGCUGCCAAAUAAAUGAAUCCAAGUAGAAUACAUGUAAGAGAUAAAAAUCUCACAAUUCUUGCAGGUCUAUUAGGAAAGAACAGUUCGUCUACAUUAACCCUUAACGAUUAGUUCAUUAACCCUUAACGAUUAGUUCAUCAUGGGAAAACUAGCAUCAGAUGAAUUGCAUAACUUAUCCGAAUUGUAUUGUUGAGAAUUCUUCCAACAUGGGGAAUCCGAAAUUUUAUCGAAGUUCACAAGCAUGUCGGCCAUGAUUGAUUCCCCAAACAGCAAGUACUCAAAGAAGCUAACAACAAAGUAAAAUUUGACACGCAGCGCCAGAGAAAUCUAGACUGCUGACCUCAUAUCAGAAGGUCUAUUGAGCUUUGCUCUGACUGGAUGAACUGCAUGUAUAGAUUUGUAGUCGAGAGACGAGUCAAGUAGUUUAAAUAAAUAAUAAAUUAUGAGUUCUUCAACCUGAAAUCCACAUUUAAAAGAAAUCGAAUGGAGAAAGGGCCAUUAACUUAUCUGUAUAAAAACUUAUAAUCUGUAUAGUUACCUCUAGUUUAAUGGGAGGACGAGGACGGCCAUGUGCAAGGGAGAGGAUAGAGAAACAGAGAGGGAGAGAGAGAGAGAGAGAGCGCUCGCUACUAAUAGCAACAAGCUCCGCUGUGAUCUGGCGACUGCGGCCAAGUGGAGGAAAGAAGAUAGAGAGAGAGAGGAGGAGGAGUGAGAACACUGCUCACUGUGACCAGGGCCGGUCCUGGGC
rnacentral:lncRNA from 1 species